GAGUGGCGAACGGGUGAGUAACACGUGGGCAACCUGCCCAAAAGAGGGGGAUAACACUUGGAAACAGGUGCUAAUACCGCAUAACCAUAGUUACCGCAUGGUAACUAUGUAAAAGGUGGCUAUGCUACCGCUUUUGGAUGGGCCCGCGGCGCAUUAGCUAGUUGGUGGGGUAAAGGCUUACCAAGGCAAUGAUGCGUAGCCGAACUGAGAGGUUGAUCGGCCACAUUGGGACUGAGACACGGCCCAAACUCCUACGGGAGGCAGCAGUAGGGAAUCUUCCACAAUGGGCGAAAGCCUGAUGGAGCAACGCCGCGUGGGUGAAGAAGGUCUUCGGAUCGUAAAACCCUGUUGUUAGAGAAGAAAGUGCGUGAGAGUAACUGUUCACGUUUCGACGGUAUCUAACCAGAAAGCCACGGCUAACUACGUGCCAGCAGCCGCGGUAAUACGUAGGUGGCAAGCGUUAUCCGGAUUUAUUGGGCGUAAAGGGAACGCAGGCGGUCUUUUAAGUCUGAUGUGAAAGCCUUCGGCUUAACCGGAGUAGUGCAUUGGAAACUGGGAGACUUGAGUGCAGAAGAGGAGAGUGGAACUCCAUGUGUAGCGGUGAAAUGCGUAGAUAUAUGGAAGAACACCAGUGGCGAAAGCGGCUCUCUGGUCUGUAACUGACGCUG
rnacentral:rRNA from 1 species